CCUAGCUGUGGGCAAUGACCUAGGUUGCAUCAUAUCUAGGCAAGUGUUACACUGCUGGGAGAAAAGCAGCCAAUAACUCGCAUGCACCUUGUGCCUGGCUAAUGCCAAAUCGGUGUUAACCAUACUAUUGUGCCAGCAUAGU
rnacentral:snoRNA from 1 species